CAAACUCCUACGGGAGGCAGCAGUGGGGAAUAUUGCACAAUGGGGGAAACCCUGAUGCAGCAACGCCGCGUGAAGGAAGACGGUUUUCGGAUUGUAAACUUCUAUCAAUAGGGAAGAAAGAAAUGACGGUACCUAAAUAAGAAGCCCCGGCUAACUACGUGCCAGCAGCCGCGGUAAUACGUAGGGGGCAAGCGUUAUCCGGAAUUACUGGGUGUAAAGGGAGAGUAGGCGGCAAGGUAAGCGAUAUGUGAAAGCCUUAGGCUUAACCUGAGGAUUGCAUAACGAACUAUCUAGCUAGAGUACAGGAGAGGAAAGCGGAAUUCCUAGUGUAGCGGUGAAAUGCGUAGAUAUUAGGAAGAACACCAGUGGCGAAGGCGGCUUUCUGGACUGAAACUGACGCUGAGGCUCGAAAGCGUGGGGAGCGAACAGGAUUAGAUACCCUGGUAGUCCACGCUGUAAACGAUGAGUGCUAGGUGUCGGGGAGGAAUCCUCGGUGCCGGAGCAAACGCAAUAAGCACUCCACCUGGGGAGUACGACCGCAAGGUUGAAACUCAAAGGAAUUGACGGGGGCCCGCACAAGCGGUGGAGCAUGUGGUUUAAUUCGAAGCAACGCGAAGAACCUUACCAAGGCUUGACAUCCUUUUGACAGAUAUAGAGAUAUAUCUUUUCUUCGGAACAGAAGUGACAGGUGGUGCAUGGUUGUCGUCAGCUCGUGUCGUGAGAUGUUGGGUUAAGUCCCGCAAC
rnacentral:rRNA from 1 species